rnacentral:rRNA from 1 species
CACGUAGGGUGCGAGCGUUGUCCGGAAUUACUGGGCGUAAAGAGCUCGUAGGUGGUUUGUCGCGUUGUUCGUGAAAACUCACAGCUCAACUGUGGGCGUGCGGGCGAUACGGGCAGACUGGAGUACUGCAGGGGAGACUGGAAUUCCUGGUGUAGCGGUGAAAUGCGCAGAUAUCAGGAGGAACACCGGUGGCGAAGGCGGGUCUCUGGGCCGAUGAUUGACGCUGAGGAGCGAAAGCGUGGGGAGCAAACAGG